GACAGAGGAGGCAAGCGUUGCUCGGAAUCACUGGGCGUAAAGGGCGCGUAGGCGGCGUGUUAAGUCAGCUGUGAAAUCUCCGAGCUUAACUCGGAACGGUCAGCUGAUACUGAUGUGCUAGAGUGCAGAAGGGGCAAUCGGAAUUCUUGGUGUAGCGGUGAAAUGCGUAGAUAUCAAGAGGAACACCUGAGGUGAAGACGGGUUGCUGGGCUGACACUGACGCUGAUGCGCGAAAGCCAGGGGAGCAAACGGG
rnacentral:rRNA from 1 species